CCUGACCAUCUUGUUUGGACCUUUUAGCUCUUUAUCCCAGCCCACACUUGUUAGCCUCCAACUAAGUUUUGCUCAAGGCCCAGCUUGUUUGACGCUAGGGUUUCCUUAUUCAGAUGUGUAUAAAUAAUGUGUUUUAUUCUGAAAUGGGCAGGAAUGAUAUUGACUCUUCUUUCCUUUUCAGCCUCUAUUCUCUUCUCUUCUCCUUUAUAAUUCCUGCACUGUUUUGUCAAAUUACUGUUUUCUCUGUUUGUGGACCGAUUGGGCGUACCACCCAUGCUCUUCAUCACUCUCUUCUCUUCCUCCCCAGAUCCCAUGCUCUUCAUCACUCUCUUUCUCUUCCUCCCCAGAUCCCAUGACCUUCAGGUGAUAAAAUCGUGAUGUGACCAUCGUAUUCUCUCUCACAGCUCACAACGAUGAAAUCGCACAGGGCUUCGUUGAUUUCUGUCAACUCCAACGAGAUCCAAGGGCUAAUAUCAGGAUGAGAAGAAGAUAUUGAGAGAUUUUCCAAACUCUCCAGCUUCACUAACAUUGUGGCUCUCUGUUUUCUCCGGAGAAGAACGCAGCAAGUGCGAUUCUUCUGUCGGGACGAUGCGGUGGUAGAAGCUACUGCCGAUUAUGAACAUGCGAGUGUUGCUGGUGAAAGCUGAUGACUCCACCAGGCAUAUUAUAGUUGUGCUUCUCAGGAAUGUAGCUACAAAGGCGAAAUUGAACCGCCACCACAUGUGCCGCAGCCGCAUCAAAGGCUGGUUCGCCAACGGCGUCGUUUUCUGAAGCUCUCUCUACUCAAGAUUCAAAAAGGAUAAAAUCAAAGGCAAUAGAUGUGCAUAUUAGGUACAUUGAUUGGCCUGAAUUACAUAGAUAGGGUGUUCGACGAGGAUAAUACUAUCAUUGCACCUUAUUCCUUGACGCUUUGGGACCCUGUUGGAUCUUCGUUGGAAUAGUGGAAAUUAGUUUUCGGACCUGAUAUCGCUGUCUUCAGUAACUCGGCUGGUAAUUUUUGGCAGUGCCCAUUUGAAAAUUUUAGUUGUUUUUGUUGUUGGUUAUGUUUGUUUGUCAAGGUAGUAAUUUUGGUUUCAUGGUUAGGGCUUUAUGAAUAUAAGCAUGAUGGUUCAAAAGCUAGGGAGCUUGAAGAGGCAAUUGGAAUUAAAGUCAUAAGACAUGCUAAGUGUUUGUUUUUUCUUUAUUUUUGCUGCAAAUCGGGUUUGUGAAAGUAAUUUGUUUUGUCUUCUCAAAAAAAAGAAAGUAAUUUGUUUUGUGAAAUGGGUUACUGCCAGAUGGUGAAACGAUCAAUUCUUCUCUCUUCUACCAUGCUUUCCGGUGGAUUCAUCAGAAACGUCAAUAUCUAUCGUUUGGUCCUCUGAAGGGAGUGCCUAAUGAUUUUGAAAAUUUCUCCCACUGGAAAGCCUCCAUAGAAAAGGGCAUCAGCUUCUGACUCGGUUUCCGACAAUGCCCCGAUGAUUUCUCUGAAAACCAAAUCAACCCCAAGCAAUUUCGGAAACACUUACAGGUCCCAAAAUAUAACAUGUGAUGUUGCUCCA